rnacentral:lncRNA from 1 species
UACAGAGCGAGGCCUUUUGGUGGCCAAGGGAGAACCUGGCCUGGAGGCUAUUCCCACAAAGUGGUGCAUAGCGGUAAUGCCCCUCCUACAGGGAGCCUGAGCCUGUUCCAUGGUUUACAUGGCUAGUCUGUGGUGGACACUCACUUACAUACUCCCAUACAUGCCCUGGGGUCAUCCCUCUGCUACGCCUGCCUCUGGUGGCAUCCUUACCCCUCUCACCCUACUUCCCCAACCGUGACUGCCUUUGUCAUCCCUAUUUCCUGCAGAUGCCUGUGGCCUUUCUGACCCAGCCCAUGUUGAGAGCCUGCAGGAGAAGGCACAGGUGGCCCUCACCGAGUAUGUCCGUGCCCAGUACCCAUCACAGCCCCAGCGCUUUGGACGCCUGCUGCUGCGGCUGCCGGCCCUGCGUGCUGUGCCUGCAUCCCUCAUCUCCCAGCUUUUCUUCAUGCGCCUGGUGGGCAAGACACCCAUCGAGACGCUCAUCCGGGACAUGCUUCUGUCAGGGAGCACCUUUAACUGGCCCUAUGGCUCGGGCUAGUGAUGGUCCUUUCCAGGACACAUGGAAGCUGGGGCCUUGUAGGGACCAUGGGGACCAGGGCCCCAGCUUCUCUUCUGAGACUGACUUCUUUUUUUAAAGACUGUGAAAUGUUUGGUUUGGUUUGUUUUUUAAAUAAUCAUGAAACCAAAAAGAUUCGGAUCUCCCAGGCUCCAGCUUUGUCCUGGCAGCCCUUCGGCAGGGUGGGGCUGAGGGUCUGGAGCCAGCAUGCUAGUGCCUCUGGUCCUGGGUAUCUGGAAGGGCCACUGCAGCUGGGCAGGGGUGCUAUGGGCCAGGAGGGUCCCCUGGACACAUGGCCCAUGGAGGGAACCAUGAAAUCAUGGCCAACAAUAAAGAUAUUCCCAUCCUUGGU